GAUGAAGAACGCAGCGAAAUGCGAUAAGUAAUGUGAAUUGCAGAAUUCAGUGAAUCAUCGAAUCUUUGAACGCACAUUGCGCCCGCCAGUAUUCUGGCGGGCAUGCCUGUUCGAGCGUCAUUUCAACCCUCAAGCACAGCUUGGUGUUGGGACUCGCGUUAAUUCGCGUUCCCCAAAUUGAUUGGCGGUCACGUCGAGCUUCCAUAGCGUAGUAGUAAAACCCUCGUUACUGGUAAUCGUCGCGGCCACGCCGUUAAACCCCAACUUCUGAAUGUUGACCUCGGAUCAGGUAGGAAUACACGCUGAACUUAAGCAUAUCAAUAAGCGGAGGA
rnacentral:misc_RNA from 1 species